CAAAUGCAAGGAUUAUUAAUUUUAUUAUUAUUGCCAAUAGGAACAGUUCAGCGCUGGUCCCUUUGCUCACAGGAAUUAAGUGAAUUGUGUCUAAACCCAUGUCAUAUGGAAGACCCUUACAACCGGUGGGGUGAGAAAGAAUUUUGUCCAUUAAUUCAAAUGCAGAUCUCAGGAUGUGAAAGGCUGUGCCACUCGGGCAUUCUUUCUGGUUCUUUUUUUAAAAAAUCUACAGCUUAAUAGAGUGCUUCACUGUCUACAAUCUGUGGUGUCAGGUCUGUGGAUCAACCAGCUAGGAUUUGUUUGGAUUCCAUUUAUUUUCUUUAACGUUGGAGGUAAUGGGUGGUGGGGGAGGGUUUACAAAUGCUGGACGCAAAGCCACUUUAAGGAGCUUUGCGUCACUAAUUCUUCCCUUUUUUUUAGGGUUCACCAGGCUGUUAUUCCUUUGCUUCUAUUUCCAAUGCAACGUUUUGGGGUUUAUACAAAUUUGUAUCUUUUUUUUCCCUGUGCAAACUCACUGCGCUGGCAAUGGUAAACAUGCGAACCGGACAAGAGUAGAGACCAAAGGCCGCACAUCAAUGAGAGCAACAUCAAUUAAAUUAACCCCAUACGAUUUUGAUCAAAUGCAAAAGUUACCUCUUUUUUUUCCCCUUAAGCCACCAAAGCAGAACUAGACAGGUGAACUAUUACUCUGAUGUUUGCAGAAAUGGUCACAAGUUCACAAGAGGAUUAUCAACUACAUGUUUCAUUGGGUGUAAGUAGAGACAGCGGGCCAGACCACACAGUCAUUAGAAAGAGCCAACAAGAAAAUUAUUGCACAGAUAUUCCAAGUGAGGGGUGCCGAUGACACCCUACUUCUGUGAAGCUGCUUUGCAAUCUGGAUGCCUCCUCCUGCUCAUGUCGACAGGGGCGGGCAUGGCAAUUUAAGAGAACGUAAAUCCAUCAUAUCUACAAAACAUGUUUUCCCAGAAGGGGAUCGACGUGAAGAGGAUUUCGGUGGCUGCGUUGCUGAGCAGUGAAGGAUGUAACUGUCCGUUUCUGAACCCUCCAGAGAGGGUCACAUUGGCCUGAGUGGAUGGUUGCCAGUCCUAUUGCACCUCACUUGAUAGGUAAUUCUUAGAUAGUUUGGCUGAGAUCGGUUGAUGCUGCAGGUUCACUCUCUUCAUUAAUCUUCUCAGCACACUGGCAAACAACCACAGCUCCAGCGUGCUGCUGACUGCAUGUCUAUCCUUUGGGUGUGUUUAUUUUGGGGUGGGGCAGGUCCUGAAGAUAUUCUGCAGGAACCUUCGAACGACUGAUUCAUCCUAAAGCUGAGCAGUAGUCCUCAGAGAUAGCCACAAAAGGCCAAAUAGGGUGCUUUCAAGGGUGCUUUCUCUAGUGUUUGGUACAAUUUACAUCACUGCUAUGUAUUUGUUGAAACACUGUUGGUUGCUGGUUUCUGAAGCCAAGUGAAUAAAGCCUGUCUGAUUA